AUGUACCACGCGUACACUCCCGUUCCUCCGCGCCGUCCGUACCCACCUGUGAGGACCGCUCGCUACGUUUUGUUAGCC
rnacentral:sRNA from 1 species